ACUAAUCACGCAGUAAGCAAAAGGACCCGCACGACUAAUCCUCCCCGUUCCUUCGUCCUGAACAAAACUGCCCGCACGAACCCACGACCUUCGCUACUCCUCCUCUGCUACCCACGCCUCCCGCAGAUCCCCCGCUCGGCCGCUCCCCGCAGAUCCUCUGCUGCCCCACGGACGCGACCGCGGACUGCCGCCGCCGAUGAUCCCAUCUGAUGGCGGCGCCGACCCAUCCCUGGUGCUGGAUGCGGUGACCUCCGGCAGAGGCGCGCCCGGCCACGCCUUCCCCAGCACAGUCUCGCCGGGCUGCCUCCGCUCCUCCGGCAGCGCCGCGCCCGUUCGCCGCAGCCCGCCGGCGAGGGCACAAUCGAUGCCGACCUGCACGCGCAAGGGGAGGCGGCAGGAGCAGUCGUGCAAGGGCAGGACCAGCCGUGCGGUCAAUCGAGCAAUCCUUUUGCAUCUUGGCCGCCAUGUCCCCCGCCGUCGACGACGCCCGCUGUGGCGAUCUCCGCCCUGGCGACCAGCUCUGCCUCGCCUGCCAAAUCAAAUCUACGAACUAAGGUUGAUUUCUAUGACUUCAGUUCGCUGGUGGUACUGGCAUAACGCUUAUGUUGCAGGCUUCUCCAGAAUGAUUCCUCAUAAGAGAUAUCUCAACCAGUCAUAAGUUAGCCUGAAGACAUAAGGUGCAGAUAUUCUUCCUUGGUAUAAGAGAUACUUUCAACUAAUCACACGUGCAAUGUUACAUUUGAGUAAGGGAUUACCAUGUUCUCUGAAUUUUCUACCCGACAGAUAUGUUCAACUAUAUUUAGAGUAUUCUGAUAAAGGGUUUACCCCCGCUUUAUAUUAUAAAGCAUCCGGAUAUUUAGAGUAUUAUACAUCUCUAAUCUGCAUAUUUGAGACCAACAUGAUAAUGUUCCAUACUUCUUAAGCCAUUUUGGUGCCACCUAUUGUACCAUCAUUUUUUGCUUCAGGUAUUGUCCUCAUUUCCAAACAAUUCCAUUGUCUUCGCUUCUCUACUCACAUGUGUUUUUUAGUCUUCCUCUCACUCUUUUGAGCUUCUACAGAACUGAUGUCUGACUGCUAUGUUUACCCUUCUGAAUAAUACCCUUAUCAAGUUUUCAGCUUUUAAUGUAAAACUGUAACCAAUUACCGAAAUUUUGGAGUUCUUUUUCACCUUUUCUUGUCCGGUUGUGGAUAAAAAAAACUUAUGCUGAAUCAUUGCGUCUCCAGACGAGCAGUGCAGAUUUGAGAGUUAGGUUAUUUGUCAAAAGUUUUCCGUUUUAUCCAUACAAUAGUAAAAUUAGUUUUACAUAAUUUGAAUGUGUGCUCGCAUGAGCUUGUAAACUUCUCUCGUGUGUCCACACAAGGGCGGAGGGAAGAUUCUUUCUGUGAAGAAACCUAUUUUGUAUGAAGUUGUAGUUGAUUUUGUCGGACUGGGAAGUGAUGGAUGCACCAAGUAGGUGGUCUUUAUUUCUGGGAUUAGAAUUUUCAAAAGGACUGUUUCUUCUCACCUUGAUCUUGUGAUCUAAUGAAAUUUAUUCCUGAUUUUUAUCAGGGACACAACAGUGAAGAUGUUUUUGAAUUUCGUGUUGUAGCUAAAUGGUGAAGUUUUCAUGAAUUCAUGUUAUGAAUUGGUUCUCACUUUUUUUAUCAUAACCUUUUAUUAUCUCAUGAUUUAUUGAAUUUUUUGUUUUUUCUAUUGAUAUUUCUGUUUGCAAAACGAUUAUUAGAUAUUGGAGAAUUAACGAGGUAUGGCUACUGCCAAGCAUGCUUUCAGAAGUACACGAUUCAAGAGAUUUUCUAUUUUGGCAGAAGUUGGUGUGCCUACUGACAAGUGUGCUCUGAAAAUUAGUCAAUUACUGCACCAGCUGGACUUAUAGAUCGGUUCACAAGGUUCUUUCUGGACAGUAGUAAUGGUUUUAAUACAUUUAAAACAUGUAUGGUUAUUUGAUUCAUGAACAAAACAAAUAUAUUCUCUUUUGAGCUUUGAGCAUUUCACAUAUGACCAUUGUACUGUUGCACUAUUACUACGACCUAUGUGAAAGGUAAAUAAACCUUUCAGCAACAUAUGUUGGUAUAAUUCUCUCCCAACUAGCAUUAUAUGCCAUAUAUAGUUUUUUUUUUACCGAAAUGUUAGGAGCCUCGUGUAUAAGGUAUGCAGAAAUUCUCACUUUGGGGAAGUGAUUAAUUCUUCAUGUGCAGUAACCUGGAGAGAUGGUGCUGGUGGAUUCUAGCCGCAAGUCGAAGACAUGCAGUUGCUUGCCGUCGAUGAAGCGACAUCAACAUGGGUAGCUGAUCCAGUCAUCUGUUAGUCUGUUCGUCUUUCUUCCUUGCACUUUGUUCUUCAGUCAUGUGUUGGGCAUCCUUCCCCAUGCUACUGACUCUAUGGUGUCGCUGGCCCAUGCUUCUGACUCUCCAGACAUAUACUCACUCGUUAGAAAUCCCAUGGCAAUUGCUUUCAUGUGAAUUUUGGUUAGUACUCCGUAUUUAUGAUGUUGCUGGCCUCAUUGCUCUGAAUAUACUACCACACUGCAUGAUAAAAUCAACAAUGACUUUUCUUAAUGCAUGUAAAUUAUCGCUUCUCUGUAAUGUUUGAUGUCAAUUUAUUCCAUGACAAUGGUGCAAACUAGGAUCUGACCGGACAAGACAGCCGCAUAUUUAGUUUAGGUGUUGCUGUUACUGCAGGCCCUUGUCCAGAUGGAGGACUUGGCUUCUUCAGUGAGGAUAAUUCAAUACUACACUUUGAUUCAAUAGAGUGCGAGCUUCAUUCGGGUUUAAGUGCGUUGCUGCUGGUCGCCUCUUGUGAUUGUGUACAGCUUGCUUCUGACAUAGCCAAGAUUAAAGGAGAGGGGAGUCAUUGCUGAUGGCUUGGAACUUUUUGGUGCAUCAUGCUAUGCGACUAAGGUCACCCUGACAGACACUUGGUGAGAUGUUUGAAGCUGCUCAUAGUAUCAUGACCUAGCUUGGAGACUGUGCCAAGGCUGAAGUUUUCUUUCUUGGGCAACUAAGGCAGAAGAACCUGGUGAAAUUGGUUGGGUAGUGCUACGAGCAUGAACACCGGAUGUUGGUGUACAAAUUCAUGAGCGUUGGGAGCCUUGAGACGCACCUCUUCAAAAGUGAGUUCUUCACUGCUUUCUGUCAAUUGAUCAUUCCAAGUAUUAGUAUGUUUGGUGGUUCCUGAGACCAGCAAGAUAAAGAAAAAUGUUACUCCCUCCAAUACAAAAUAAGUGUCGUGGUUUUAAUUAAAAUUUGAACUAAAACCAUGACACUUACUAUGGAUUUGUAAGAGUAAUUCAGAAUUCUGAGCACGUACGAGUGCCAUCUGGUCCAUUGAUGAUGAACUGUUCUUGUCCCCUGAACUUUCUUUUCCAUAAGUCACAAGUCAAGAGGAUAGCUGAGCUCUCUCUCCCUUCCAAAGGGACUACACUUUCUCUUUUUAAAAUCAGAUGAAUGUAAAUAUUCGAUAUUUACUAAAAAGGGAUACUGGAUAUUUUGGAUUGAAAAUUUACUUGUCCGACCAGCUUCUUGGUACUUGUAAGUUAGUACAACUCUUGGUCAAUGUGGAUGAGGAAACUGACCUGAAACAUCCUAUUUCCUUCACGUAUAAAUGGCUCCCUCCUGCGGAUGAUAAGGAUGAAGAUCGCCGUCAGCCCAAGGGCCUUAACUUUCUCCAUGAUGCCAACCUGCCGGUGAUCUACAAGCAGGCCUUCAACAUCUACUGGACUAGGGUCAGUUUGAGCCUUCACGAGCUCGACAUCGGAGCCAGCACUCUACAUGCUUAUCGACGCGGUGGCCAUCGAGGUCAAACUUGUCCGGAAAUACUUGUCGGAGUAAUGGAUGUAUCUAUACGCAUUUUAGUUUUAGACACAUCCAUUUUUAUGCAUUUCUUCGACAUGUACUGUGAUUUGUGAAGACGUGCGUUGCACGUACACGCUAACUAGUAAUUUAGAAUUAGAAAAAGUUAAAUUACAAUUCAUAAAAUUAUUUUAGGUAUACAGCAUUUCAAUAAUUAUAUG